AGAGUUUGAUCAUGGCUCAGGACGAACGCUGGCGGCGUGCUUAACACAUGCAAGUCGUACGCUGAAGCCUGCUUCGGUGGGUGGAUGAGUGGCGAACGGGUGAGUAACACGUGGGUAAUCUGUCUUGUACUCUGGGAUAAGCCUGGGAAACUGGGUCUAAUACCGGAUGGGACCAUUCUCCGCAUGGGGGGUGGUGGAAAGCUCCGGCGGUAUGAGUUGAGCCCGCGGCCUAUCAGCUUGUUGGUGGGGUGAUGGCCUACCAAGGCGGUGACGGGUAGCCGGCCUGAGAGGGUGACCGGUCACACUGGGACUGAGACACGGCCCAGACUCCUACGGGAGGCAGCAGUGGGAAUAUUGCACAAUGGGCGCAAGCCUGAUGCAGCGACGCCGCGUGAGGGAUGACGGCCUUCGGGUUGUAAACCUCUUUCGCCAGGGACGAAGGGUGAUACUGACGGUACCUGGAGAAGAAGCACCGGCUAACUACGUGCCAGCAGCCGCGGUAAUACGUAGGGUGCAAGCGUUGUCCGGAAUUAUUGGGCGUAAAGAGCUCGUAGGCGGUGUGUCGCGUCUGCCGUGGAAACCUGCAGCUUAACUGUGGGCGUGCGGUGGAUACGGGCAUCACUUGAGUUCGGCAGGGGAGACUGGAAUUCCUGGUGUAGCGGUGGAAUGCGCAGAUAUCAGGAGGAACACCGGUGGCGAAGGCGGGUCUCUGGGCCGAUACUGACGCUGAGGAGCGAAAGCGUGGGGAGCGAACAGGAUUAGAUACCCUGUAGUCCACGCUGUAAACGUUGGGCGCUAGGUGUGGGGUGCUGUCCACGCAUUCCGUGCCGUAGCUAACGCAUUAAGCGCCCCGCCUGGGGAGUACGGCCGCAAGGCUAAAACUCAAAUGAAUUGACGG
rnacentral:rRNA from 1 species